rnacentral:lncRNA from 1 species
ACUUUCCUCAGGCAGGCUUUCACUUUCCUCUCUCUCCAGCCAGAGUUCCAUACUCCACAGAACGGCAGUUUGAGUCUCUAAACAGCAUCCAAUCAGCUUUAAAAUAUGCUUGUGACUCAUUUGUGAUGUAUAUGCGAUGUCGUUAAUCGAAGUAUUGUAAAACUUCAUAGCAGAAAUAUUUUGCUCAAUUCCUAUAUACGUACUAUAUUUAUAUAUGUAGCCUCUACUACUGUUGAUUUAUUCCAAAAUGAUUCCUUAUCUUCCUUCUCCGAAUACCAAAUUGCUCUAACACACUCAGGAUCAUCUAAACUUCUACAAACCCAAAAAAUGACUUCACUUUAUUUAAUAAUGAAAUCAAGGAUUAACUUUAUUUAACAAUGAAAUUUUUAAGAACAUGAAAGGAAAUAUAACAAAAGGGAGUUUGGAGAUGUCACAGGUGCCUCUGGAUGCGCAGAUCUGGAAUGCAGAUAAACAAAAACAGGGGAACUCUGUACUUGGGCCCCUGCAGCAGAGUGAAUAAAACAAGAAAUGAUGUUUCUUCUUUCUGAGUAUGGAAGUGAUUUUGCCCAUAAAAUAUUUAAUUUGGUCUACAAUUCAAAGUCGUAAAAAUAGAAGUUAAGACAAUUGAUGCUUUAGGGAUUUGCGUGAGAGAGGAGCGUGAGGAGGGAGAGAGGAAAGUAGGCUGGAGAUAAGGUAGAUAAGGUUGGAUUUCCUUAUGCAGGCACCCAUUUCUUUAUGAAUUCUUUAUUCAUUCUUUUUUAUUUUUUUAAUGUAUUAACAAGCGAGAGGAAGGAGACGCGAAACAGCAGCAACUGCUGCCGUUUCUCUUGUCAUUUUCUCGUUCCUCUCGCUCCCUAGCAUUUUCCAAUUGGGAAAGAGUAAGUGACGUCUACUGUACUCUAGUGAACGAGUGUUAUGGACGACUUGGCGUGAGCCAAUAAAGCUUUCGUCAUGGCUUGAAUCAUUUAAAAUUUAAAUCCUUGCUGUUUGUUCUUUUUUUAAACUAAGCUGAAACAGGUACUUGUUCGGUCAAUUCAACUAUCACGGGAUUAAUAUGCUUGUACUUUUCGUAGGAUCAAUUCAAAAAAAUCAUAACUUGUUCUUCAAUGUAUCAUGCAUGCACAUACAUAUACAAGUAAUAUAUAUACGUGUCUUCUUCAAAACUUAAUAAUUAAAAGGGAUAUUAUCAUUUUCCCACCAAAGGUAUUCUGACACAUCAUGUCAGUACCACGGUUUGGUAAAACUAUCAAUUUACCACCAAACGUUUAAACUGUUAGCAUUUUCCCACCAUUCCGUUAAAACUCCGUUAAUAUGUAACAGAAAAUUCAUAAAAGGUCAAUUUUACCCCUGAAGUGUAAAAGACCAUGUAAUUAACCUUUUAUGAAUUUUGUAAUUAAAUUAUCAUUUGUUGUUCUUCCUUCUUAAAGGACAAAAAUUACCCCUUAUAAAUUUUAUAAAAUUGACCGUGUGGUGCUAGGUACUUUUAUAAAUUGAUUUAAUUUAUUUAAUUUUUAAAGGUCAAAUUUAUUUAUUAAAUUGCCGAGCUAAAGACAAUUUAUUCUACUACUAAACAUCAAUUUAUGAAAGGGAAAAAAAAAAGAAUGUGCAAAAGAAGCAAUUUAAUCUUUGAUAUGAUGAUAAUAAUUUUACACAAAAAAUUAAAUAAAUAAAUUUGCCCUUUAAAAAUUAAAUCAAUUUAUGAAGUACCUAAUACCACAUGCUUGUGACUCAUUUGUGAUGUAUAUGCGAUGUCGUUAAUCGAAGUAUUGUAAAACUUCAUAGCAGAAAUAUUUUGCUCAAUUCCUAUAUACGUACUAUAUUUAUAUAUGUAGCCUCUACUACUGUUGAUUUAUUCCAAAAUGAUUCCUUAUCUUCCUUCUCCGAAUACCAAAUUGCUCUAACACACUCAGGAUCAUCUAAACUUCUACAAACCCAAAAAAUGACUUCACUUUAUUUAAUAAUGAAAUCAAGGAUUAACUUUAUUUAACAAUGAAAUUUUUAAGAACAUGAAAGGAAAUAUAACAAAAGGGAGUUUGGAGAUGUCACAGGUGCCUCUGGAUGCGCAGAUCUGGAAUGCAGAUAAACAAAAACAGGGGAACUCUG